rnacentral:tRNA from 11 species
AUUGAUAAAAUUAAAGAAUAGUUAUAAAUAGAUAUAAUAGAAAUAUGCGUAAUUAUAUGCAUAAGAAGAGAAAGAUAAGUAUUAUGCUACGUAUUCAUAUAUUGUACGGUAGGCCAGAAUCCAAGACGUUCAAUAUUCGAAUAAUAAUCCGAAUAUUGUACGAUAUUCGAUAUAAUGCAAUCCAUGCAUUUAAUACAAUAGAUUAUUAUAGCUAGGAUGUUCCAACCAACUACGCGUAAAAUUUGAGCUAAAUCGAUGACCCAAAUAUCACAAGUUCCCCAGUUUCGCAUGAAACAACUUAUCGUCACAAAAAUCGAACUCUCACUCGAGAAAAUAGCGAAUCAUUUUUCUUUAACAUUUGUAAUAAAUAUAUAUAAGUAGCUUUAAAUUUUUUCCGAAUUUUUGAAAGAGCAAAAUAUUUAAAAUAAAGAAUCUAAUAUAAAAUUUUGUUUAUUAAUCUAAAAUCUAUGACAGAUCUUUCUCAGAGGAAUACAACCUAACCUAACAAUCUUGCGUCACUGGAUACGAUCGAAAAGAACCUUAUAACUCGUAGUAAGACGAUCCCAGGCUAUCGUCUACCUGAGGAUGUCCCGCAGGAUUUAUUACCAUAGCUAAGAGUCGACAUCUCUUCUCUUAACACGCACCUGGAGAUAUAAUAGCCACCUUGUCUAUUAAGGAUCAAGAAAAGAGAUCUGACGGUCGGCUUACGAACAUGUUGGGACAUGGUUAGGCGAAGAACUUCGUUGAGGGAGGUUAGGAAACAACGAUGACGUGAUACUCACAUGAACGAUUCGACCCGAGGCAGCUUCUUAUGCGAGGACCAUUUGAAAUGCUGAUAGCCAUAAAGGAUCCUCUUUAAAAUAAAAAUAUAUGCUGGGAUACUUUUUUGCACGAAAAUGUACAAAUAUGUGCAAACGAAUAUGAAUAUUUCUUGCUGCUAUGGCAUAGAGCAUUCAAAAAAGUGUAUGAAGAUUUUUGCAUUUAACAUAAUUUCAUUUUAAUAUGGAAAAUGGUCCUUUGAACUAUUAUCGAUUCUAUUUUUCUUGAAAUUUUAACAUAUUAAAAUUGGAACGAUAACAAACAAUAAACGUCUUUCACUUUUACAUUUCUGAUGCAAAGAUUUUAUCUUCGGUUAAAUGUGUUAAAUAUAAAUUCAUUAUUGAUCUCUAAUUAAAUCCAAGAUAUGAAGAAACAUAAAACAAAUUGGAAGAAACAUCACAAAAUUACAAUUCACUGUUUUACACAAUAUUGCAAAUCAAUAUAUUAGAUCCCGAAAUCAACCAUAAAACGAAGUCGCGGUUUUACGGGAAGCAACGUCGAAACGAGACGAACUGUACUUUGGGGCAGGUUUACAAAUACGUGGAUCAAUUCCAGGUUUAUCGUUCGGCAGCGGCGAUUGGUCGAUUCUCGAUGGUUCAGUUCUACAUAUAAAACGUAGUUACGCGUACAAAUACGCGCAUACAUACGUGUAGAAUCGUAUAUAAACGUAUAUCAUAUAUACAUAAUGAACAUGGAUUCUAUACCCGGGUGUGUGUAUACCGCCAUAAUAAUUCAGUCUCGAACGUCGCUCUCUCCGCAGUGACCGCAACCUGCAAAGCUGACGAAACACGAGCAAAUCAACUGUCGCAGCUAUUUUCUGCCUAGUUACGUAAAUUAAUAUUAGAAACGAUACUGAAAUUAUUGUUUCAUCGAGACGGAUGCGGUGCGCACCGCGAUCCUGAGCCUAUCAACGUGACAACCGUGUUUCGACGGAUAUUGUGGAUUUUAGGUUAUGGAAAGGGUAAUGAUUUGUUGGAUAUUUGAUAAUGAUUGUUUGGGACAGGAUUAAGUGCUAUUGAAACGAUGUUUCAUUCAAUUGAUUACAUAAUCGAUUACAAUAAGAUAGUUUUUGCAUUUGGUAUUUGUUAUAAUUAGUUCAGAUACUUUUAUCGAAAGCAUGUCGUCGAAUAAAAAAUCAUUUUUCCACAUAGACUGUGUCACAUAAUAAUCACUUUUGGCCAAUGUGUGAUUGCGAUUACAACCUUUAAAUUAGAAAUUCGCCGCGAACGAGAAUUUCACGACCGUUGUGAACUCUACUACACAUGUGUACUACACGCACCGCCGACGGUACUAGCUGUGGCAACGAUGGAAAACGGUGAUCGCAACAGCGGCACGCAAAGUGAGCCGACAAAGGCGUCUUAUCGCGGUUAAUUUAUAUUUCAAAAGGUUACUGGUACCAUCGAAAGAACGUAGAAACUCUCUCGGCGCUAUUCCACAAGAAAUUCUAUCUGUCGAAAGAUUUAUCAAUGCAUCCAAGAUGAUUUCGAGAAUUUUUCUUAUUAUUAAUUUUUCUUUUCGCCGUAAUCUAUACAAAAUGGCGGAUACUGAAACUGUGUAAGCGCGGGUAAUUUGAUUUUUAUAGGAGUGUUCAACAAGUUUCAAUAAGUUUAUGAAACUUUUUAAGCAGAUCCAAUCUCGACGUUCAAUUCCAUCGAACACAAAAUAUCACGGUGAAAACAUGGUGCAACGUAUUAACGUUCUUGGGUUAAUCGAUCUUGGUGGAAGAUCGAGGCAAUUAACGCCAGUAUCGCCAGUCGAUGAUGAACAUUCGUCAUCCGAAGACCGGUUUCUAUCGGAUGAUUCACCAUCGUGGAUUCUAUAAAAUCUCGCCAACAAUGUUUCCCGUCGUGGAUUUUCUUUUGCUUUUACCACGUACAUGAUCUUUUUUUCUUUUUUUUCUUUUUUUUAUCAUUUUUAUAAAUCCUUAUCGUGUUUUCAUUUAAAAUUCAAACAAAGUAGAUAUUAUCGAAUAACAUAGCUUCCAGGAAGGAGUUUGAAAAAUGUUCGAAACGGUUCUCCGGAUUCUUCGUCGCGGUAUUACGUUCGUAAUAAUUAUUCGAAGUCGGACGGCAUCUUGGUGGUAAUAACCAGGUCCGCUAAUAGCUAUUUGAAAUUGAAAUAAGAUGUAACGAUUCGUGGUAAUUUUAUUUGGCAUUUCUAUUGAAACGGGAUUAUAUAGAGAAAGAUAUCAAUUUCAAGAUCGAAUUUUAUCGUUAAAUUGCAAAUUAAAAAUUUUAUAAAAUAUAUAUAAAUAACGUUAUAUAAUAUUGAAUAUUUAAUAAUUAGAAUUUUAUAUAAAUUCUGAAUUUAUUAUAUAACAUAUCAAAUCGACUUAGGUUAGAUAGAACUUGUGUUAAACUGAAAUAAGAUGCAUAACGAAUCUUGGUAAUUUUAUUUAUAUCUCUUAUCGGGGAUGAGAUUAUACAAAAAGAGAUACAGAUUUCAAGUCAAUUUUAUUAUUAAAUUGUAAAUUAAAAAAUUGACACGAUACUUGGAACGUUAUGUAUUACAAACUUUACGUUUAUCAAGUUAAGGUUUUAGGUUAUGUUAUUACAAUUUAAUCAAGGUAAGCUUAUUAUUUCCUUAUUACAUCACGUUAGAUUAUUACUUUUUCCUUAGAUUAUUACCAUUUUAUUGUAUUAUUAAAUAUCUUGUAUAUUUAUAUAUUUAGCCUCAAGUGUCGAAGGAUGACCGAAUGCUCGUUAUUGGUAACCUAAGCGAUCCGCCGCUCCGCCAUUUUCCCAAUCAACAAUCGAGAUCAACCUCGAAGCCUUCUUCUAACCUCGAACAUCGAUCAAUUCUCGUCAAGUGUUCCUCCUCGCAAAAGGGAGCGUGGCACGACUUUUACAAAGUAGGGAGUAAGUUCCACCACACGCGGAUACACUCUCUACCACGACACUAUUCAAUUUCUCAUUCAGGAUAUCAUGCAUCAUCUCUUUUGAGCUUAAAAAUUAUCUCUUCGAUCUUCCAGGAUUUCCGUGGCAUGGCGUCUUGCACAAUCUUCACGAAUCGUCAUAAAUCAUGUCGACGGAUUGCGUGGGCGGCUAUGGAACACGCUCUAACCCCUUUCCAACUGAUGCAUAGUAACAUUUUACAGGAUUUUUACGCACCGUUCACAAUUCAUCCGUUAAUGACACCGACAUUGACGAGUCAUCAAUUUGACUGUGUAACAAGAAAUGGAAGAUUCGCGAAUUCAGUAGAAUCAAAGAAAUGUAUUAAGUAUGUGAUUACAAAAAAAAAGGCGAACUCACUCAUUAUGUACACGCAAUCUGGCAUUCCGUGUGUCGAACGUAUAAAGAGCGCCUCUUAAAAGUGUGUUCAGUAUGGACGAAAAAUCUGCUUGAUAAAAUGGACUUACCUGAAACAAAGGAGAAAAAAAACCAUUUAAAAAUAUUACUAAAACAUAAAUAUUUAAUAUAUAUAUAUUCUUUCCUCAGAGCAACAAUUCUUCGAUUGUUGAUAAAAUAAUGUCAUAGUUCGAAUGCGGAUGUAUUGCAUUGUCGAUCGUUUGUGAACGAAAUUCCUGUGUCUCACCUACGAGGCUUACUUAAUGAAAGAAAGCAUCGACUCUAUGCGGACGUAGCACACGCCUUUUCGUUAUUUCUCAUAAUCGCCCACGCUUGGCCGCCUGCCAGCCAAAGAGACCCUGGUUUCCCGAGAAUCGAAAAUAAUCACGUCUUCUUCCUCCUCCGCCUUUUCCUCUUCCUUUCGUACGCGCGAAUCCGUCCGAGGAAAGCGGGAAAGCUAAUUUAAUUAACGAUCCAUUUCGCCACUCUCUUGUCCUCGGAUUAUUUUCACGCCUUUGAAAAUAAUUAAAUUUACGACGAGAAAGUACGAGCUUCUUCUGAACGAUAGUAUUUCAAGAAACACUGACACAGGAUUGAUCGUAAAAAAAAAUGAUUAGAUCACCGGGUUUACUUUGGAAUUGGUGAACGAAGUCGAAUCGAUCGAUUCAAUUUUUUUCGUAUUUGCAAUUGAAUUGCGUAAUUUCGAAAUUAAAAUAUUCAUAGAUAUAUUACGUUUGAAUUUUUUUUUUUUAAAAUUAACAAGCACGGUGAACAUAUAUGAUUUAUACGUUAGAUAUUAUCUCUUUUUAUUAGUUUUUUCAAUAUGUGAUAACAGUCAACAGGAAAUGAAACAGGAAAGAAAAAAAACGAAGAUCUUAUCGUAGCGUGAAAUAACGUAUCGUAGUAUACGAUCAUAAAUGCUUAUUAUCUAGUAAAAAGUAUACGAGGGAUAAGAACGGUCAAUUACAUGAAACCGUAAUUAACAUAUUAACGAAUCGAUUUGAACUUAAUGAUAUAUUUAUUUUCUGAUACAAAAUGUCAAUAUAUAUAUUCGUAUAGAAUAAUUUUGCAUAGUUGAUUCUAAAACAAACGCAACGGUUAACGUACAAAAAUAUCGUUUAUAAGACGUAUUUUUAUCGAGCAAUUUAAAUUUACAUUAUAGACGAGACGAAAGAAAAUAGUAAUCAAUACCAUCUUAAUUUCUUUAAUCUCUUUAAUGACAAUUACAAAUAAAAUUGUUAAAAUUCGCUAAAUAAUUAUUUUCGUUAUUAUUGUAAACUGUACUAUCACGAUAAUUCGUAAACUCGGUUGAUCUUAAUUAAGAUCAAUGAUAAAUUUCAUUCCAAACAAGCUUGUCUAUCGAUCGAUCUAUCUAUCAUAAAAAUUUUCCAUCGACGACACUAACUAAAUUUGGUGCGCACAAUGUAUCUGCACAUGUAUCAACAGACGUGCGCCGCGAUGCAAAUUUGCAUCUGGUUGCGCAACCGCUCGCGCUCUCGGACAUGGUCGCAAAAAUACAGUCAUACUAUAUCGAUCGAUGUGUAAUCGAUGAAUCUAAUAAUGGCCUGGGCCGCUAUUAUUCAAGAUCGACGCCUGUGUAGCAUGUAGCGGUCAGAAUCCACUCGUGAAAUCAACGCGGUUGAGAAAAGAUAUAUUUCCCCCUUUACAAACUGGCGGAACGUUUCGUGGUAGGUGGUAGGCGGCCGAGCGAGCGUGGGCCUCGGUGGCCUCUCCACCGCGAUUUAAAUAUUUAACUCCGCUGAACGUGAGCGAGAGCCAACCGUUACUCGCGCGAGCGAUAAUUUUCAUUCGCGGGUAAACUCGCUUGGGAAAAUCGACCGACCGCGUGAAUCAUCCUCCCACCUGAUUUCCAACUGCUAGCCGAUGAUGAGAACCAAUGGGAAAAUCUCAUUGGCACUCUUCGGUUUUGCAUUUGUUAGGUUAGGUAAUACUAGUUUCUCUGCCUAUUUAAUUGGAAUCUUAUUUUUUUUUAUUUGUGCAGUGAUUAGAUAAUCAUUUACCUUGUUGUUAUUACAUUAUCGUUACGAACAGUAAUAGAUAAAGUGUCGAAAGCCAAAUUUGUAAUACUAUGGCCUAAAUGGCUGUAAAUUAAGAAGUAGGAAAAGAAGAUCGCAUUUCCAAUUUACCGACGGUAACGAAGAGAGUCGAGAAUCGUACGUCGUAACUCAAAGUAAAGAUAGAUUAUCUAACGGAAGAAGACUAGCAAUUGUCACAAAGUAUAAUUCAUCUACCCACAAUUACUUGAGUUUAAAUGGAUUGUUCUCUCGAGGGAUGAAUUAUGUUCCUCAUUAAAACGCCUGUUGAAAAGAUUAUAUAAAAUCAAGUUGGAAAGAACGAGAUCGAAGAAGAAAAAGAGGAAAGGAUAGAAGAACAGAAAUAUACGCAGAGUAGAGAAGAAAAAACAAAGGAGGAGCUAUGUAACGUGGCUUCGCUAUUCGAAAACCUAGCAUUCCCAAAUACGUUUCUCGAGGUAGCCGUUCCUCCGUUAAAGCCUAUCUAAAGAGGGAAAAAGAUCACCGCUAGAGGUCGUGGUUAGAAGUUCUUUCCGAGGAAAGAUUCGAGAGGCGCAACAACGAAGCGGCGGUUAGAAUCCAUGGGCGUGCUUCGACCAUUUUCUUCGCGUGAAACUGCACGAACGGCCGCAAACCAUCUCGAGGCGCUCUCUCUCUUUCUCUAUCUCUCUCUCUCACGCACAGUCGAGGAGCACUCGACUAUUUUAACCGUGAAAUAACUCAGUCGAGGAGGGUUCGGUGGAGGGGGAGAGAAGGGAGUGGAAAAGGAAGAAGGAGAGAGGGAUCGCGGGGACGGUGAGGGGAGAGAUGUGGCAUGAUAUGUGGGUCCUAAAGAUAGAGCACCCGAAACAACCAUAAACCUUUUUAUUCCACUUGCCCUGGCCCCGACGAUCCUUCUAUCUGUCUCUCGUUCGCCGCUUAAGUGUACACGUGGGUUACAUUUUUCUUUCUUUCUCCCCUCUUUUUUUUUUUUUUAAUUUGAAAAAUAAUUUUUCCACGGAUGGAAACAAGGUGGAUUUUUAAUUUUUUAAUCGAACAUCCAUUUCAUUUCAUUUUGUGCAGACACGAGGAAGGAAGAAAUUUAAAGGUGAAUAAAUGCAAAGCAAUUAAAAGUAUUUGAAACGCGAAUUUCUGUCUGAAUCUGGGUGACAAAGAAAAAGGAAAAUUAAAAAUUCGAUCAAGCUGAAAAAAGAAUCUGAACAUAUAAUGUAAAUAAUUUUCUGAUAAUAAAAUUCUAAUAAAUGGAUAAUCUUAGUGUUUUCUAUUCUCUUUUUAAAUUUUAUUUUUCCUAGAGGAUAGAUACAAAGUGUAAGCUAAUUAUUGAUUGUUUUAACCUAGAAUCUGAACAUCCUGGGACAAUUUAUAAUGUAAAUAAUAAUUCUGAUAAUAAAAUUCUAACAAAUGGAUAAUCGAUUCUUCGUGUUUUCUACUUUUUUUCUGAAUUUUAUUUUUCCUAGAGGAUAGGUACAAAGUGUAAGGUAAUUAUUGAUUGUUUUAACCUAGAAUCUGAAUCUCAUUUUGGGACAAUUUAUAAUGUAAAUAAUUUUCUGAUAACAAAAUUCUAAUAAAUGGAUAAUCUUAGUGUUUUCUACUCUCUUUCUGAAUUUUAUUUUUCCUAGAAGAUAGAUACAAAGUGUAAGAUAAUUAUUGAUUGUUUUAACCUAGAAUCUGAAUCUCAUUUUGGGACAAUUUAUAA